AUUACACCAUAUAAUGAACUGAUAAAUAUGUCAAAGGUGCGUCGGACACAUUUGAUACAUAUUUGCUAAAAGUAAGUAUAGUUGCAAAAAUAAUCCCUGUGACAGACCCUCUGUCCCUGAAUUUUAAAGUUUAUACAUUUUGUUCGCCUACCCAUUCGAAUUAAAUACAGUCUGCCUUAUUUUACCAUUUGCCAUUCGUAUACCGAAAUAACUACCAAACGACCACCUAAAUGUGGAGCGUGGUGCUUAUUAACCUCAUUGACCUUCUUAACUCCUCUAAAACCACAAAUUCCCUAACAUUCUAAGCAGUGGACUGGGUGGUCGGCGUUAGUAUGCACAAACACGUGGCGGCGGCCAUCUUGUGAUACGAAUGCGGCCAGCAGGGUUUUGUCAUCGAGUGCAUGGAACUAUAAUCUGACACUCGACGACAUGAACACCG